rnacentral:lncRNA from 1 species
CGCAAUCUCUAAAAAUGCAUCAAUGCUUUCGAGAAGAGGGGUAAUCCGCACUCUAUCAAGAAGGCAAAGCUCUGAAAUCGAUGUUAACAGUCUUUUCUACUAGCUAUACUAAACAAAAAGAAGGAAUUAAUAUCAGUCCAAGAGAGGGUAAUCCGCAACCCUUAGAACGCUCAAGUAUCUCCAAGGAAAGGGGUAGUCCACUCUCUGCCUCAAAGAACUAAGCUCUAAUAUUGUGAUUGAGAAAAUAUCAGUUUAGAGGAAGGUAAUCCGCAACCCCUAAAGCACUAGAAUACCUUCAAGAAGAGGGGUAAUCCGCUCUCAAACAAGAAGGAUUCAGCUCUGAUAUUAAGAUAAAGGUAGUCUCGACAAACUAUCACGGACACAAAAUAUAGACUUGAAAUCUAACAAGAAGUUCAAGAAGAAGUGGCAGAACUAGAUUAAACAGAUGAAUACAAGAACAACACCAGAAAGGUGAGCUAGAACUCCAAGAG